AUUGAACGCUGGCGGCAGGCCUAACACAUGCAAGUCGAACGAAGUCUUCGGACUUAGUGGCGGACGGGUGAGUAACACGUGGGAACGUGCCUUUAGGUUCGGAAUAACUCAGGGAAACUUGUGCUAAUACCGAAUGUGCCCUUCGGGGGAAAGAUUUAUCGCCUUUAGAGCGGCCCGCGUCUGAUUAGCUAGUUGGUGAGGUAAAGGCUCACCAAGGCGACGAUCAGUAGCUGGUCUGAGAGGAUGAUCAGCCACAUUGGGACUGAGACACGGCCCAAACUCCUACGGGAGGCAGCAGUGGGGAAUCUUGCGCAAUGGGCGAAAGCCUGACGCAGCCAUGCCGCGUGAAUGAUGAAGGUCUUAGGAUUGUAAAAUUCUUUCACCGGGGACGAUAAUGACGGUACCCGGAGAAGAAGCCCCGGCUAACUUCGUGCCAGCCGCCGCUGUAA
rnacentral:rRNA from 1 species